rnacentral:misc_RNA from 1 species
UAUAUUUGUUUUUCGUAUUUCGAUUGACAUCCUUCAACGGCAUUACAAAAAAAGAGCAUCCAUCCGCAAAAGCAAACGACGCUUGAUUUCACUGGGUUUCAAGAUGAUUUCGGGGGCAGCACGCCCCACAAAUUCAUUAAUGAUCCCUCCGCAGGUUCACCUACGGAAA